GACGAACGCUGGCGGCGUGCCUAAUACAUGCAAGUCGAGCGAAGUUUUUCUGGUGCUUGCACUAGAAAAACUUAGCGGCGAACGGGUGAGUAACACGUAAAGAACCUGCCUCAUAGACUGGGACAACUAUUGGAAACGAUAGCUAAUACCGGAUAACAGUAUUUCUCGCAUGAGAGAUAUUUAAAAGUUGGUUAUGCUAACACUAUGAGAUGGCUUUGCGGUGCAUUAGCUAGUUGGUGGGGUAAAGGCCCACCAAGGCGACGAUGCAUAGCCGACCUGAGUGGGUGAUCGGCCACACUGGGACUGAGACACGGCCCAGACUCCUACGGGAGGCAGCAGUAGGGAAUCUUCCGCAAUGGGCGAAAGCCUGACGGAGCAACGCCGCGUGAGUGAAGAAGGAUUUCGGUUCGUAAAGCUCUGUUGUUAGGGAAGAAUGGAUAUGUAGUAACUAUACAUGUAAGAGACGGUACCUAACCAGAAAGCCACGGCUAACUACGUG
rnacentral:rRNA from 1 species